rfam:Nitrobacter winogradskyi Nb-255, complete genome.
AUUCGUUCGUUUACGAUUGAUUAAGCUUUCCUGACUAUGACUGAAAUGUCCUUCAUUGGACACCGAGUGGCUUCCUGUCCACUCUGUUUGACGCCUCCCUGUUAUCAACUUCAAGGCCGCCGGCAACGGCGGCUUUUUUUUG